AGAUUUCCGGGCAUGCGAAAGGAAAGGAGGGACUGCCGACAACACAUCAAGAAACGAAAUACGCGUUGCCCACACAACGCAAAAUUCCCAUUGGUCAAAAUCGAUACGCCUGUCAAUCAAAUCUGAUACGUAGUAAUUAUGCUAUCAAUAAUUUCCAGACUGAAUGUUGUUUUUAUAAGUAAACAUGACAUUAACGGUUCCUAUUGGAUAGAUUUAAUUGGAUAUAAGUAAUGUUUAUGCAAAGGCGGAGCCAACUUGACAAGAGCGAAAAGUGGGCGUCUUUCGUUUCUUCAUGUGUUGUCGGCUGUCCCUCCUUUCUCCCGAGGGACUGUUCGCGGUCUAACAACCUACAGCUCUUUUUCAUCCUUGCCGUGUUGCUCGUCACAGCCUCACAUGAUUUCUUUCUAUAGUAUCCAUCAUUGACACGUUUUUUGAGAAUGUUAAAUCAACUAGAAAACUGGAGAUAUCGUUGGUAGUUCUCGAUAAUGACGCUCUCUUGAAGAAGCUUAAUGAAUGCACAAUUAACAUUCACACUGUAGAGAUUCAGUCAACGUGUAAGGUACACCAAGUUUUAAGAAAUUAUUCUUUACCGCCUUGUCUAGAAG
rnacentral:lncRNA from 1 species